rnacentral:lncRNA from 1 species
AUGGCCGUGGUCACUGAGGCGGUCACUCUGGCGGUCACUGUGCUGGUCACUCCCGCGGUCACUCCCGUGGUCACUCCCGUGGUCACUCCUGCGGUCACUCCCGUGGUCACUCCCGCGGUCACUCCUGUGGUCACUCUGGCGGUCACUGUUCUGGUCACUGCGCUGGUCACUCCCGCGGUCACUCCCGUGGUCACUGUGCCGGUCACUCCCGCGGUCACUCCCGCGGUCACUCCCGCGGUCACUGCGCUGGUCACUGCGCUGGUCACUCUGGCGGUCACUCCCGUGGUCACUGUGCCGGUCACUCCCGUGGUCACUGUGCUGGUCACUGCGCUGGUCACUGCGCCGGUCACUGUUCUGGUCACUCGGGCGGUCACUCCCGUGGUCACUGUUCUGGUCACUGCGCCGGUCACUCGGGCGGUCACUCGGGUGGUCACUCCCGCGGUCACUGCGCUGGUCACUCAGGCGGUCACUCAGGCGGUCACUCGGGUGGUCACUCCCGCGGUCACUCCCGCGGUCACUCUGGCGGUCACUCCCGUGGUCACUGCGCUGGUCACUGCGCUGGUCACUGCGCCGGUCACUGUUCUGGUCACUGCGCCGGUCACUGUUCUGGUCACUCCCGUGGUCACUCUGGCGGUCACUCGGGCGGUCACUCCCGCGGUCACUCCCGCGGUCACUCCCGUGGUCACUGUUCUGGUCACUCCCGUGGUCACUCGGGCCGUCACUGUGCCGGUCACUCCCACGGUCACUGUGCUGGUCACUCCCGUGGUCACUGUUCUGGUCACUCCCGUGGUCACUGUGCCGGUCACUCCCGUGGUCACUCUGGCGGUCACUCGGGCGGUCACUGCGGCGGUCACUCGGGCAGUCACUGUUCUGGUCACUCCCGUGGUCACUCCCGUGGUCACUCGGGCGGUCACUCGGGCGGUCACUCCCGCGGUCACUGCGCUGGUCACUCGGGCGGUCACUCUGGCGGUCACUCGGGCGGUCACUCAGGCGGUCACUGUGCUGGUCACUGCGCUGGUCACUCGGGCGGUCACUCCCGUGGUCACUGUUCUGGUCACUCCCACGGUCACUGUGCUGGUCACUCCCGUGGUCACUGUGCCGGUCACUCCCGUGGUCACUCCCGUGGUCACUCUGGCGGUCACUCGGGCGCAGCUCGGCCGAGAGCCGCUCGAAGGCGGCCAGCAUGGCGGCGCGGACGCGCUCGGUCAGCGCCGGCACCUCGGCCGCGCCCAGGCCGCGCGUCGGCAGCGGCGGCAGCACCUGGAUCACGCACUGCCCUGGGGGGAGGGCGUCAGACCAUGCGGGGACCCCAGACCCACAGAGACACGGGACCCCAGACCCAGAGAGACAGAGACCCCAGACCCACAGAGACCCCAGACCCACGGGGACCCCAGA